CCUAGAGUUGUAGGCUUUGCCUGCUAUCUCUUACCCAUGUCUUUUGAGUACUUACGUUUCCUCGGCGGGUCCGCCCGCCGAUUGGACAAUUUAAACCAUUUGCAGUUGCAAUCGGCGUCUGAAAAACUUAAUAGUUA
rnacentral:misc_RNA from 1 species